GCCUCAGUGGUCGAAUUGGUACGACGCCCUACACGGAAUGAGGGAGGUUCCAGGUUCGAACCCUGGCUGAGGUA